rnacentral:lncRNA from 1 species
AUUCUUGCUGUUGGGUUGUGUUGGAAAUAUAUAGAAAUGCUGAUGCUUUAUGUGGGUUUAUUUUGUUUCCUGCAACUUUGCUAAAGUUGUUGGUUAUUUCCACUAGCUUUUUAGUUGAUUCGCUAGGAUUCUUUAAGUAGACCAUGUGGAAAGGAAACAAGACUGACAGUUUGUGGGGGAAGGGCCCAACUGGGAGUGGCAGUUGGGUCUUGUGACUAGCACUUCCUUCCUGCCGGGUGGGACUUGCCUCCGGGUGUUGGAGGAAGAAGGAGCUGAUCAGCCAGUCUGGAGUGCUAUGCUCUUUCUUGGUUCAGCCUGAAGAUUCAAGUCCAAUCUCUUCUGAAGGUGGUAGAUUGGCACGGAAAGGGAAUUGAAGCAAGAAAACCAAUUGGAAGGCUAUUGCAACAGCACAAGUAAGAGAUGAUAAGAACCUGAACUAGGAUAGUAACUAUAUGAGUGGAGAGAAGAUGAUGAAAGCAAGGUAAAAUAAGUUUCCCAUGGUUCCAGAGCUCGUGAGUGCCCAAGUCAAGAUUCAAAUCUUGGGCUUCCAACUCCAAAUCCUGACCUAUUUCAACUCUUCCCACACACCCUGCUAUGUGAGUAAGGUCACCUCAAGUUCAAGAUGAUAAUGAGAUGGGUAUGUGAUUGUAAUGUGAUAGUAUUGUGUCAUAAGAAAUGAUGAACUGGAUGAUCACAAAGAAUCCUGGAAAGAAUUUUUUUGAAGUAAUGCAAAGUCAAGAGAGCAGAGCUAGGAGAACAUCAUGUAGAGUAUCAAAAAUAAUGAGUAAUGAUCAGCUAUGAAUGACUUCAUUAUUAUGAACAAUGCAAGGAUCUAAGACAACUCCCAGGAACUCAUGACGAAAUCAGUUACUGACCACCAUAGAAGGAACUGAUGCAGAUUGAAGCAUACAGUUUCUUCACUUUAUUUCCUUCAUGAAU